ACCAAGCAGAAACUAAUUCAGAGUAAAGUUCAGAGAAUAAAAAACGCAGACGUACAGGAGGACAAGCGCCCCGAAGGGAGGGAGUGUUAGCGAGUCUUCGCGCCGCUUGCCGUCUAUAGUAGACUACAGGGCUAAUCUAGCGCCACCAUGCGGGCAGCGCUAGGUAUUCACGCGUGCUCUGCAAAGUACUCUCUCUCUCUCUCCUGCCGACCGCUCUCGAAGCAACAGCUCCGUCGCCCGAGUUAUAUAUAAGAAGAAAAUAAAGAGAGUUAUAACAGAAUAUUAGAGCCUAGUUUAAUUACGAGUUCUCCUCACCAACCAUCCAACUAGGAUUAUUCUAACACCUUCACAAAAUGAGGCAAUUGCUACAUUUAACAGAAUUGAAGCAAGGCAUGGAUUUCCUAAAGUAAUAGGAGCUGUAGAUGGUACACACAUCCAAAUUCCUGCUCCAAGAAGAGAUGCUCAAAGUUAUAUCAACCGUAAGAUCAACCACACUCUUGUGUGCACCCGAUCCAGUUACAAGUCAUUUGCAACGAUAGACUGGAGUUCAUUCACUGUUACGUUGGACUUCCAGGAUCAGUGCAUGACAUGAGAGUUUUUAGAUACUCUGGUGUGCAACAAAAAUGUAAUGCAGAAUUUUUUCCGGAAAAUAGUCAUUUAUUAGGUGAUUCAGCUUACAGUCUCCAGAAGCUUGUUGUCUGGAGAAUGAUGGUAGAAAGAUCUAUUGGACUUUUAAAAUGUCGGUGGCGGUACUUAAUUGAAAAGAUGCCUAUGAGAAGGACGGACUUAAUUCCUUAUUAUGUAUUGUGUUGUUGUAUACUCCACAAUAUAUGUUUAAAGCGAGAAGAUACUUUUGAGUAUCCUGUUGUCAUUCCGGACACUAUUGAGAUGAAUCCUACUCCAUUACUUGUAGAUGCCGUCUUACAACAAGAAGGUGCUAUUAAAAGGAAUGCUAUUUGUCAUUAUGUAAACAGAAACAUUAUGUAAAUAUUUAUUUCAAGGUAAAUAAUAAAUGUCUAAGAAAUCGA